AUUGAACGCUGGCGGCAUGCUUUACACAUGCAAGUCGAACGGUAACAGGCCGCAAGGUGCUGACGAGUGGCGAACGGGUGAGUAAUGCAUCGGAACGUGCCCAGUCGUGGGGGAUAACUACUCGAAAGAGUAGCUAAUACCGCAUACGAUCUAUGGAUGAAAGCGGGGGACCGUAAGGCCUCGCGCGAUUGGAGCGGCCGAUGUCAGAUUAGGUAGUUGGUGGGGUAAAGGCUCACCAAGCCAACGAUCUGUAGCUGGUCUGAGAGGACGACCAGCCACACUGGGACUGAGACACGGCCCAGACUCCUACGGGAGGCAGCAGAGGGGAAUUUUGGACAAUGGGCGCAAGCCUGAUCCAGCAAUGCCGCGUGCAGGAAGAAGGCCUUCGGGUUGUAAACUGCUUUUGUACGGAACGAAACGGCUCUGGUUAAUACCCGGGGCUAAUGACGGUACCGGAAGAAUAAGCACCGGCUAACUACGUG
rnacentral:rRNA from 1 species